rnacentral:rRNA from 1 species
GAUGAACGCUGGCGGCGUGCCUAAUACAUGCAAGUCGAGCGAACAGACGAGGAGCUUGCUCCUCUGACGUUAGCGGCGGACGGGUGAGUAACACGUGGAUAACCUACCUAUAAGACUGGGAUAACUUCGGGAAACCGGAGCUAAUACCGGAUAAUAUAUUGAACCGCAUGGUUCAAUAGUGAAAGACGGUUUUGCUGUCACUUAUAGAUGGAUCCGCGCCGCAUUAGCUAGUUGGUAAGGUAACGGCUUACCAUGGCAACGAUGCGUAGCCGACCUGAGAGGGUGAUCGGCCACACUGGAACUGAGACGCGGUCCAGACUCCUACGGGAGGCAGCAGUAGGGAAUCUUCCGCAAUGGGCGAAAGCCUGACGGAGCAACGCCGCGUGAGUGAUGAAGGUCUUCGGAUCGUAAAACUCUGUUAUUGGGGAAGAACAAAUGUGUAAGUAACUAUGCACGUCUUGACGGUACCUAAUCAGAAAGCCACGGCUAACUACGUG